AUGCUGAUCACCUGUGGCUCCUGUUAAAAUGCAGAUUUUUAUUCAACAGACUGUACCAGAGAUACAGUUCUAAUAAGCUCCCAGGUGAUGCUGAU
rnacentral:miRNA from 1 species